rnacentral:rRNA from 1 species
AUGGAUCGAGAACAAGUCUCCAAUGCCGCCGCCGCCCCUGACUCCAGCAGAUCCAUCACCGGCCAGCCAGAAGUAAUCAAGAUCGACAUCCUUCUCGUUGUGCUCACCGUUCUUGUCGUGUUACUGAGGUGUCUAAGCCGGCGCCGGAGCCGUAUAAGCCAUGACACGCUCGGCCGCUACUUCCUCUUGGGCGCCUCUGCUGUGUACUUUUCACUUACUGCCUACAUCUUCUCUAUCCUGACCACCUACAUGUCAUCCUUGGAUGAAGGAGACUAUUUGUUGGUCCCGUCGAUUGUGCUGCUGCUGGUGGUCCUCCUCCAAUUUCUCAAGUCGAACGCGGACAUGGCUGCCCUAGCCGUGGGUGCCGUUGCCUCGCCUACGGCUGGCGACGACAUCGACAGCCAAAAGAUCCGCCCAUCCAUGGAGAGCCUUGUGUCCUCUCUCUGGGUGGCGGGCCUCCUCAUCUACUACAUAUAUGUCAAGGAAAGAGAUGACCUCUACUUCCUCGCCUAUGUGGAUCUCCCAAUAUUUCUGCUAUGGGCGCUUGGUGUUGCAAGAAUGGUGCUCAGGUUUGUCGCAUUCCAGCGCGCCAAUGGGUCUUUCGCUGUCGGCCGGAAUGCUAAGCUGAUCGAGGGCUACAUGGCGCAGCUCCAAGACCAAGAAGGUUGCCGCCGCUACAGUGAAGAGGCUGCGGUACCCCAUCUCAUAGUGACGGGAGAGAAGAAACUGGACGUGGAAGAAAGCCACGAAGGAUAUCGUGUCAAGGAAGACAACUCCAGCUGCCUGGUCACACUAGACAAAGUCUGGUCAUCUCGCUUGCCCUCGAAGGUCAAGGACCUCUGCCUCUCCUUCUCUCUCUUCAAGUGCCUACGCCGGCGGUUUGCUGGCUACCAGCUUGCCGAGGCUGGCUCUAGCUGGGCUUUCCAUUUUGUUUGCAAUGGGUUGCUCGGCCCGGAAGAUGAUCACGCCAGGAUGUUCAAGGUGAUCUCCAGCGAGCUUGCGUUCGCAUGCGAUUUCUACUACUCCCCACUCCCUGCCGCCUCUCUGGGCGCAUGGUUCGCAGCUCUCCACUUCUUCUUGUCUGCUAUAAUUUGCAGCCUGACAUUCAUCAUCAUUCCAUUGCUUUUAUUCAGCAUACCUCAAAUUAUGGCCAUAAUGAGUUUAGAUGAGGAUGAUAGUGUUGGUAACACAUUCUUGUUGCUCCUGGUCCUUGUUGUCGCCCUGGUCACUCUAUGCGUGGAGAUAGUGGAGAUGGUGACCAGUGUGCGCUCUAACUGGACCAAGAUAAGCAUGGUUGGCCACUACAUCAACGGAUCUUGUUGGUCCUGGGUAAUCUGUCCAUGUUUGCUAAGAUGCAAACCCCCAUCGCGUUGGAAGGAUGAGAUCGGGCAAAACCUUAUCCUCAAGCCCAAUCUUCCCUGGGCUCAUAUGUUCAAACAGAUCUUCCAUCCAAGGAAAAACCGUUACAAGGCUGUGGUCAAAAUCCCACUAGAGGUGAAGGAUGCCGUCAUCAGAUCCUUGAAGAGCACCAGCGGGCAGCUGACCAACAGUAUAACCACCGUACGGCCGCGGUGCAGCCCUGACUUCACCUGGACAUGCUACGAGAGAAUCACCACCAGCACCGAUGCCAUCCUUGUUUGGUACAUUGCCACAUUUCUCUUUGAGAUCAAAUGUUCUUCACCUACUUCAGCGCCAACAAAAAGCAUGGUAGUCGCCACUAGCUUGUCGCGAUACUGUGCAUACUUGGUGGCCGAGGCUCCAGAGUUGCUGCCAAACAAUGCUGCCUGGACAAAGCACCGCUACCAGAAGGUGAAGAAUGUAUCAAAGCAGCACAUCUGGUUGACAACUCCAGCUCCAAUAAGACACUGGAAGAGGAUGUCGUGA